AUGAAGGCCCUCUGGGUUGUUAAACUUCGUUUUAUUAGGGGAAGAAAUCUGUUUUUUCUAAAGCAGUUGACGGUACCCGAUGAAAUAAGCACCGGCUAACUCCGUGC
rnacentral:rRNA from 1 species